UGACUCCUGUACUCCACUGGAUCGAGAAGAGUAGGGGGAGGUGGGAUGUCUCCCAUCAACAUCACGUAGCAUGGUGCCCCUGGACAGUUCUGGAGGACUCUGUACACAGCUUUGGCAACAUCAGUCUCCUGAAGAUAUUCUAUAGUCAUAUCAACAGCUUCAAAUUCUGUGAGUCAUGAAGGUUCCGAGCAGAAGUCUGGGCAGUGCAGUGACUGAUGAGCUGACAAGCCGAUCACAUGAUCUGCGCAGCCAUAUGCAGAGUCUGCCAUGUUUCCCUAAGUGUGAACCACAACCCAGCCUGACCUUCUUCCAAGCUGAUUUACAGUCUCUACUGGCAUCCUAACCUGCCUCCAAAAUGUCAAGCAUGAAUGGGUUUAAAGAGCUUUGUGAAUCUUGGAUUGGUAUUAAAAAUGAAAAAUGCUACUUAAGUAUAUUAAGAAAGAAGAGAGAUUGACAGGACAAAUUUUUCAGUUACAUCUGUUGAACUGUAUGCAUAAAAACAUCCUCAUUCUCACUGUUUAGUUUAGAAAUAUACACAAUCUAGUACAGGGGUCUCAAAGCCCUGGCCGGCAGGCCAUCUGUGGCCCAAGAACCUCCCCACUGCAGCCCGUGGAAACUUGUUAAAAAGUUCUUUCAUCCGUCCCUCAUGGCUUCCGGCUGAGGGAGUGGUGGAGGGGGAGGAGAGCGGGCAGGAGAGAUUCACGUGCCUCUCCCCCCAACGCUGCUCCAUCCUGCUGCUCCUGGGACCCUCCCAGGAGUUGCACUCGGCAAUGCGUCAUUCACCUCAGGCAGCUCAGCUCCCUGCAAGCGGUUCCCUAUCCCUGCUGUUGUCGGCGGAACCACAGAGGAGAGACCCAUGCAGCCAUCUGUC